ensembl:lncRNA
CAAUCUUUUGCAUUGAUGUUUAGUGGAGUGUUGAUGGAGGCUAAUCUCUUUGCACUUCCUCUACAGGCAAUGGAAAGAAAGGGGCUCCUUCAGAGGUAUGAUUUAGAGUGUCUAAAGUUAAGCUCCUGCCCUAAAUCACCCCCCAAAACUCCCUAUCACGGGCGUACCUCUCCAUUGAAGCCCAAUGCAAGUUGUAGAUUGUUGUUUUCUUUUUGAGGCAUUAAUAACAAGGCAUAGUGACGACAUACAACCUCUGUAUAAGCAGUUAAGUGUUUGCAUUUUUAAUUUCCUGUAUUUCUCUUGUAUUUUUCACUGGGUUAUUUGGAGAACUGAUUGAUACAUAUAAAUCUGGAUUGACUCAGCAUGAAAAGCAAAUCAAAUUCUGUAAUAUUUAACUUUCAGAAAGACUGAGCAGCCCCGUGGAUUUUCAAAAAUCAUUAAUAUGCAGGGCAUUUGAAAUAUAUCUGUAGUUCUCUGUUUAAAUAAGAAAAAUGCAAUGACUGGCCUAUAAAAUCCUUUCCCUCCUUGAUUGAUCUCUUUCUAAUUUUCCCGAUUUUCAG